CCCAGCUCUGGAUCCCCAGGUGUUUCCACUCUCUGAUCAGGACCAAAAUCAGACCACUCACCAUGGGCUUUGGGCUCAGCUGGAUUUUCAUUGUUUCUUUUUUAAGAGGUGUCCAGUGUGAGGUGCAGCUGGUGGAGUCUGGAGGAGGCUUGGUGCAGCCUGGGGGGUCUCUGAGACUCUCCUGUUCAGUCUCUGGUGUCACCUUCAGUAGCUACCCCAUGAACUGGGUCCGCCAGGCUCUAGGGAAGGGGCUAGAAUGGGUCUCAGGCAUUAGUAGUAAUGAUGUUAUAUUCUAUGCUGACUCUGUGAAAGGCCGAUUCACCAUCUCCAGAGACAACACCAAGAACACACUGUAUCUGCAAAUGAGCAGCCUGAGAGCCGAGGACACAGCCAUGUAUUACUGUGCAGGAGAGACACACAGUGAGGGGAAGUCAGUCUGA